CCCGUUACCUGUGAGGGGUGGGUCGUGUGACUCGGCCUGUUCCAGCAGGAGCCCGCUGGACGCGGCGGGCACAGCAGGAAUGCUGCUUGUUUGGGAAGGCUGUGCAGGGCUGGCUGCUCUGCCUCCCCCCCUGGCAGCGGCUCAGCCCGUCCCUGUUGCUGUUACAGCACAGCUGCUCCCCAAACCUCUUCGUGCAGAACGUCUUCGUGGACACCCACGACCUUCGCUUCCCCUGGGUCGCCUUCUUCGCCAGCAAGAGGAUCCGGGCGGGCACGGAGCUGACCUGGGAUUACAACUACGAGGUGGGGAGUGUGGAGGGCAAAGAGCUGCUGUGCUGCUGUGGGGCCAUCGACUGCCGGGGCCGCCUGCUCUGAGCCCCCCCUGCUCCCCACGGUCCUGGUGCUUCCCUCGGGGAGGGAAAAGGUUCUCCAGAGCUUCUGUGUUCUCCUGGUCCCUUGGAAAGUCACGGAUGGACGCGGGGCAGGAAGGGAAUCUGGGGGAUUCCCGACCCCUGGGCUUCUCCCACCUUCCAGAGGCUCCAGUUACCACCACAACCUCCCUCAGGAAAGGGAGUUUUUCCUGUUCCCUUCCAGCUCUCUGCCAAACUUGAGGCACAAACCCCCUUCUUUUCCAGCAGGAAGCACUUCCCCAAGACUCCCAACUUCAUGGUUGGGAUUGAGGCCUUGGGAAGUGGGAGGGAAAGAGGACGGUGAAAUCCCAGAAAGGUGGGACCAACCUGGAUUUCUGUGACGUGAAUCAUCUGUGAGAUGAUGUUGUAAAGAAUCUUUUGUACUUUUGGUUGUUAAAAAAAAAAAGCAAUAAACUUAAUGGUUUUUUUCUACUA